rnacentral:rRNA from 1 species
CAGUCGCCGCGGUAAGACAGAGGAUGCAAGCGUUAUCCGGAAUGAUUGGGCGUAAAGCGUCUGUAGGUGGCUUUUCAAGUCCGCCGUCAAAUCCCAGGGCUCAACCCUGGACAGGCGGUGGAAACUACCAAGCUGGAGUACGGUAGGGGCAGAGGGAAUUUCCAGUGGAGCGGUGAAAUGCGUUGAGAUCGAAAAGAACACCAACAGCGAAAGCACUCUGCUGGGACGACACUGACACUAAGAGACGAAAGCUAGGGGAGCAAAUGGGAUUAGAUACCCCCGUAGUCCUUGUCUCUUAUAA